rnacentral:lncRNA from 1 species
AUUUUUUGACGUGCCUUUGGAGGCGGAACGGGGAUUGUGAAUGAUGGACAGUUGUACAGGCUUUGUGAUUUGCGCUCUGCAACCGAAGGAACACAUGGAUUUACAUUAUAGGUCCCCGACAUAAAGCAACCCCCCUGCCCCCCUCCACCCUCAUCCUUCAGUUCCACCCAUAUGUUUGCACCACCAUAUCCCACAUCCACGCUCCUAAUCAACAGAGCAAGGCUUUGUCUCACUUCCUCUAUUUUAUAGGAGUGAGUGCUAUCUCCGUCUCUCUGUGCCAUAUCACCCGGCAUGACCUGAGAGAGGAAAGCUAUCACCCCACAGCGCAGGCUUUAUGAGUGCGCUCAGAUGAUGGUGAAACCUUAUGAUUCCUUAUCGGGGAAUAUCAGAAUAUACAUCUGGACACAUUAGCUGGGGGCCCAGUUAGAGAAGACUCGACCUUGUCCGCUUUGGCGCAUUGUAUAAGUCAUAGCUCAAACUAAUUUGAACAUUAAUAAAUAAUUUGGAAAGUGUUAGAGUGCCUUCAUAGAGCCAUCAUAGCGCCUUCAUGGCACCUUCAUAGAGCUUUCGUAACAUCUUCAUAGGGCCUUUAUAACACCUUUGUAGUGCCUUCAUAUUGUCUUCGUAGUGUAAUAACACUUCUCUGGAAAAGAACAACCAUUCAUAGUGCUACUUAAAGAUGUGCUGCUCCUUCCUGACAGUUUUGCUGUUUUUUUGAGAAAGCAUAUCUGGUGUCUUUAAGCUCAUCCACCUGUCACUGUGCUCUUUCAGCAAUUACACAUCUGUCAAGUGUCACCCGGGCUUAGCUCUGACCGACAGGGUUAUGUCAAGCAGUCAGCCAUUACCCAAAUGGUUUAGAGUGGAGGGAUAGUAGGCACAUACUGCGGAAGAGUGAGCAUGGGUCAUUGUAACUGGGAGCUAGGGUUAGGUUAGGAGGGCCAGUGUAACUGGGAGCUAGGGUUAGGUUAGGAGGGCCAGUGUGACUGAGAGCUAGGGUUAUGUUAGGAGGGCCAGUGUGACUGGGAGCUAGGGUUAGGUUAGGAGGGCCAGUGUGACUGGGAGCUAGGGUUGUGUUAGGAGGGCCAGUGUGACUGGGAGCUAGAGUUGUGUUAGGAGGGCCAGUGUGACUGGGAGCUAGGGUUGUGUUAGGAGGGCCAGUGUGACUGGGAGCUAGGGUUGUGUUAGGAGGGCCAGUGUGACUGAGAGCUAGGGUUGUGUUAGGAGGGCCAGUGUGACUGAGAGCUAGGGUUGUGUUAGGAGCGCCAGUGUGACUGAGAGCUAGGGUUGUGUUAGGAGGGCCAGUGUGACUGGGAGCUAGGGUUGUGUUAGGAGGGCCAGUGUGACUGAGAGCUAGGGUUGUGUUAGGAGGGCCAGUGUGACU